GUUAACCCAGCCCUCGCAGAGGGAUCCGCUUACGCUGUGGCCCAAACAACUUAAUGGAAACAAACUCGCCACCAGGAAGUGAAGCUCCUUUGUGCCUGGAGAAGAAGCCACUACUUGAAUCUUUCUAUGGUUCUCAGAUCAUUGACCUGUUCUCAAGGAAAGGGAGAGGAAUCUCAAGUGUUUCAACUCGGACCGUUUUAGCUUUGUUAGCUGCCUUGAAUCUCUGUACUCAAGGGAUACAAAUAGACAUCAUAAUCAUAAUC